GUUUUUGAGCUAGAAAUAUUUUAAUGACAUACUAUUUAAGAGAAAAACACUGGCUAUGAAAGAAUACACACGGUUUAUUAUUUUUUGAGAGUCUCGCUUCGUCGCUCAGGCUGAAGUGCAGUGUUGUGAUCUCAGCUCACUGCCACCUUUGCCUCCCUGGGUUCAAGUGAUUCUCCUGCCACAGCCUCCUGAGCGCCUGGCAUUACAGGUGCGCAGCACCACGCCUGGAUAACUUUCCUAUUUUCCAGUAGAGACAGGAUUUCACCAUAUGGGCCAGACCGAGCUCGCCUCCUUGCCCUUCCCCCAGCCUCGCCUCCGUUUCUACACCCUCUCCUCCCGUCCCCUGGGUAGCGGCGGUCGCACUGAGCAGGUCCCACUCCUGGCCGCUUCUCCCUAUGCUCCCCAUGCUUCUCGGGACUACAGAGGCAGUGCCGCCUUCCAGACCGCGCACGCGCCCCACCACGUCGUCCUCAAUUCUCCACGGUCCUUCCUGAGAUUGGCAGGUUCUGCACCAAUCACGGCCCUCACUGGAACUCCGCCCGCCCCCCCGUCUCCAUGGCAACGCCCUGCGGGAAGGGGCCGCCUCCUCUGCUGCUUCCUAGACCGCAAAUGGCGAAAGGCUUGGCCCCUGCUUUCCGGGAGAUGCAGUCUGCAGGGUCCUUGUGUGCAGGUGCGCGCGGCGCGAGUCUCACACUGUCCCCCAGGCUGGAGUGCAGUGGUGCAAUCCUGGCUCACUGCAACCUCUGCUUCCUGGGUUCAAGCGAUUCUCCUGCCUCAGCCUCCUGAGUAGCUGGGACUACAGGAUAUUCACCACCAUGCCCAGCUAAUUUUUGUACUUUUAGUAGAGUUGGAGUUUCACCAAGUUGGCCAGGAUGGUCUUGAUCUCUUGACUUCGUGAUCCACCUGCCUCAGCCUCCCAAAGUGCUGGGAUUACAGGCGUGAGCCACUGUGCCCAGCCUGAUUUUUGUAUUUUUAGUAGAGACAGGGUUUCACUACUGGUCAGGCUCAUCUCAAACUCCUGACCUCAUGAUCCACCUGCCUCAGCCUCCGGUGUUGGGAUUACAGGUGAGUCACCUGGCCCUGCCCCUCUGUGUCCUUUCAUAAGUACCUCUGUGAUUAUAAUUAGGGGCCACUGGAAUAACUCAGGAUACUCUCCAUAUCUCGAGAUUAAUUUACAAAGUUCCUUUGCCAUAUAUGGUGAUUUACUCAUAGUUUCCUGAGAUUAUGAUAUGUUUAGGUGACCUUCCCACACUGACAUUUGCUAUCUCCAAGUGAGAAGCGUGGAGAUGGGUAGUUCACCUCAUCUUGCCUGGGAGGCAGGUCAGGACCUUUUGAUUCUCUUGGCUCCCUCUGUGGUUUUAAGAGAUUACUGUGGAACCCUAAGGAGUAAAAAGAAAAUGGAAAAAUGGGUUUGGCUGGCAGGAACAGAAAUGGAUGCACAGGAGCAAAUAUUCAGAGAAAUGGGGUCAGCUGCAAAUGGCUCACCUGCACCCAAGCGUCAUGUCUGCAAGCAUUGAGCCCAAGCAGCACGACCGUGUGAAACUUCCCUCAGGCCCCUGCCUCUUGGCAGACAGCCUUCCCUCUCUGUAUUGCCUGCUGCUCCCUGGCAAUGUUAUCUCCCCCUUUUCUCUAAUAAAGCUGCCUUUCUAAACUGAUUACUGUCUUGG
rnacentral:lncRNA from 13 species